rnacentral:rRNA from 1 species
GAUGACUCGGCGGGCAGCUUCCGGGAAACCAAAGCUUUUGGGUUCCGGGGGAAGUAUGGUUGCAAAGCUGAAACUUAAAGGAAUUGACGGAAGGGCACCACCAGGAGUGGAGCCUGCGGCUUAAUUUGACUCAACACGGGAAACCUCACCAGGCCCGGACACCGGAAGGAUUGACAGAUUGAGAGCUCUUUCUUGAUUCGGUGGGUGGUGGUGCAUGGCCGUUCUUAGUUGGUGGAGCGAUUUGUCUGGUUAAUUCCGGUAACGAACGAGACUCUAGCCUGCUAAAUAGACGAUUUCCGGUAUCCACAAGUGCUACCGGCGAAAUCAAUAUCUUCUUAGAGGGACAGGCGGCUUUCAGCCGCACGAAACUGAGCAAUAACAGGUCUGUGAUGCCCUUAGAUGUCCUGGGCCGCACGCGCGCUACACUGAAGGAAUCAGCGUGUAUACCCUGGCCGAAAGGCUCGGGCAACCCGUUGAACCUCCUUCGUGCUAGGGAUUGGGGCUUGCAAUUGUUCCCCAUGAACGAGGAAUUCCCAGUAAGCGCGAGUCAUAAGCUCGCGUUGAUUACGUCCCUGCCCUUUGUACACACCGCCCGUCGCUACUACCGAUUGAAUGAUUUAGUGAGGUCUUCGGACUGGUGCGCGGCGGCCGCCUGCGCGGCCGCCGAUGCCACCGGGAAGAUGACCGAACUUGAUCAUUUAGAGGAAGUA